rnacentral:rRNA from 1 species
GAAGCGACUCCUACGGGGAGGCAGCAGUGGGGGAAUAUUGCACAAUGGGCGCAAGCCUGAUGCAGCCAUGCCGCGUGUGUGAAGAAGGACCUUCGGGUUGUAAAGCACUUUCAGUCGUGAGGAAGGUAGUGUAGUUAAUAGCUGCAUUAUUUGACGUUAGCGACAGAAGAAAGCACCGGCUAACUCCGUGCCAGCAGCCGCGGUAAUACGGAGGGUGCGAGCGUUAAUCGGAAUUACUGGGCGUAAAGCGCAUGCAGGUGGUUUGUUUAAGUCAGAUGUGAAAGACCCGGGGCUCAACCUCGGAAUUGCAUUUGAAACUAGGCAGACUAGAGUACUGUAGAGGGGGGUAGGAAUUUCAGGUGUAGCGGUGAAAUGCGUAGAGAUCUGAAGGAAUACCGGUGGCGAAGGCGGCCCCCUCGGACAGAUACUGACACUCAGAUGCGAAAGCGUGGGGAGCAAACAGGAUUAGAUACCCUGGUAG